rnacentral:rRNA from 1 species
GACGAACGCUGGCGGCGUGCCUAAUACAUGCAAGUAGAACGCUGAAGAGAGGAGCUUGCUCUUCUUGGAUGAGUUGCGAACGGGUGAGUAACGCGUAGGUAACCUGCCUGGUAGCGGGGGAUAACUAUUGGAAACGAUAGCUAAUACCGCAUAAAAUGGAUUAUCGCAUGAUAAUCCAUUGAAAGGUGCAAAUGCAUCACUACCAGAUGGACCUGCGUUGUAUUAGCUAGUUGGUGGGGUAACGGCUCAUCAAGGCGACGAUACAUAGCCGACCUGAGAGGGUGAUCGGCCACACUGGGACUGAGACACGGCCCAGACUCCUACGGGAGGCAGCAGUAGGGAAUCUUCGGCAAUGGACGGAAGUCUGACCGAGCAACGCCGCGUGAGUGCAGAAGGUUUUCGGAUCGUAAAGCUCUGUUGUAAGAGAAGAACGAGUGUGAGAGUGGAAAGUUCACACUGUGACGGUAUCUUACCAGAAAGGGACGGCUAACUACGUG